CUUGGUCAUUUAGAGGAAGUAAAAGUCGUAACAAGGUUUCCGUAGGUGAACCUGCGGAAGGAUCAUUAGUGAACGCCCUCACGGGCUUAUAACUAUUCCAAACCUCUGUGAACCGUGCCCUUCGGGGCUAUUGUACAAACAUGGUGUAAUGAACGUCAUAUAUCAUAACAAAACAAAACUUUCAACAACGGAUCUCUUGGCUCUCGCAUCGAUGAAGAACGCAGCGAAAUGCGAUAAGUAAUGUGAAUUGCAGAAUUCAGUGAAUCAUCGAAUCUUUGAACGCACCUUGCGCCCUCUGGUAUUCCGGAGGGCAUGCCUGUUUGAGUGUCAUGUAGACUCAAUCCCUCGGGUUUCCGAGGAGAUUGGACUUGGGUGUUGCCGCUCUGCCGGCUCGCCUUAAAAGACUUAGCGGGAUAGCACCGUAGUCGGCGUAAUAAGUUUCGUCGGUGAAGGUUGUGAUGACUGCUUACAAUCGCCCUCGGGCAAUUUUUGACUCUGACCUCAAAUCAGGUAGGACUACCCGCUGAACUUAAGCAUAUCAAUAAGCGGAGGA
rnacentral:rRNA from 1 species